UUUUAAUUUUUUCUAAUUACUCUUUGCAAUUGGAUACUUGGGUUACUGUGAAAUUUAUACUCUUAGUGUGUAGUUCCUCAGCUAAAAGGUGCAUAAAGUGCAAAAAAGUAUAUACAUGUACAUACAUUAUGGAGUUACAUAUAAAUAACCUAUAGGAAAAUUUGACUUUUUGUGCAGAAACUUUACCUGAAACCACUGGCGAUGCUUCCAUUAACAAAACUACAGAGCCUCUUAAAAGCUUCCACCCACAAAUAAAAUGGUUCCAGAAAGAUGAUGUGGUCAUAUUAAAGAUAAGAAUAAGGAAUGUAAAAGAUUACAAAUGCAAAUAUUUUAGAAAUAGAGUUGUUUUCAGUGCCUGGGUAGGAGAGAAAUUUUACUUGGCUGAUAUGGAGCUGCAGGCCAACAUAAUAAAGGACGAUUGCAAAUGCACAAUUAAAAACGAUGAACCUCUCAUCACUCUUGCAAAAGAGAGAAGGGAAUCCUGGUUUCGCUUACUCAAACGGCGGAAUCCUAAUGUGGCUUUUGAUUUUGAUCACUGGGAAGACUGUGAAGAGGAUAGCCCCUUCUCCAGGGGUAAGAUGGGGGCGCCGGCCCCCCGAGAGCUGUAGGUCCUGAGUGCUGUGGGGU